UGCCUUUUGCAUAAUGAGCCUACGAGUUAAUUUUACUAGCGAGGUUAAGGUAUUAAGUACCGGAGCCGGAGCGAAAGCGAGUCUGAAUAGGGCGAAUAGUUAGUGGGAUUAGACGCGAAACCUUGUGAUCUACCCAUGGGCAGGUUGAAGCACUGGUAACACAGUGUGGAGGACCGAACCGGUUGACGUUGAAAAGUCUUCGGAUGACCUGUGGGUAGGGGUGAAAGGCCAAUCAAACUGGGAGAUAGCUCGUACUCCCCGAAAUGCAUUUAGGUGCAGCGUUGAUUUAGUUUAUUAGAGGUAGAGCUACUGAUUGGAUGCGGGGGUUUCACCGCCUACCAAUUCCUGACAAACUCCGAAUGCUAAUAAAUAUUGAUCAGCAGUGAGGGCAUGGGUGCUAAGGUCCAUGUCCGAGAGGGAAAGAACCCAGACCAACAGCUAAGGUCCCUAAAUAUAUGCUAAGUUGAAACAACGCGGUUGAACUGCAUUGACAGCUAGGAUGUUGGCUUGGAAGCAGCCAUUCAUUUAAAGAGUGCGUAACAGCUCACUAGUCGAGCGGUUCGGCAUGGAUAAUAAUCGGGCAUAAGCAUAUUACCGAAGCUAUGGCAACGAAAGUUGGGUAGGGGAGCAUUCUAUCGGCGCAGAAGCAUCACUGUGAGGUGUUGUGGAGCUUAUAGAAAAGAAAAUGUAGGCAUAAGUAACGAUAAAGCAGGCGAGAAACCUGCUCACCGAAAGACUAAGGGUUCCUCAGCCAUGCUAAUCAGCUGAGGGUUAGUCGGGACCUAACGCGAACCCGAGAGGGGAAGUGGAUGGACAAUGGGUUAAUAUUCCCAUACUUGCUCACGAAUAAAGGGGACGGUUCAGCCAGACUACUGGAGACUGACGGAAUAGUCAAGACCUAGCCUACGGGCGAAGUUGUUGUAGAGUAACUGGAUCCAAGAAAAGCCGAAGUGAAGCAACCCGUACCAUAAACCGACACAGGUAGUCGAGGAGAGAAUCCUAAGGUGCUCGAGUGAGUCGUGGCUAAGGAACUAGGCAAAAUAGUCUCGUAACUUCGGAAUAAGAGACGCCAACAGCGAUGUUGGCCGCAGUGAAGAGGCCCAGGCGACUGUUUAUCAAAAACACAGGACUCUGCUAAAUCGAAAGAUGCUGUAUAGGGUCUGACACCUGCCCGGUGCUGGAAGGUUAAGGAAGGUGCUUAGCGUAAGCGAAGGCAUUGACUGAAGCCCCAGUAAACGGCGGCCGUAACUAUAACGGUCCUAAGGUAGCGAAAUUCCUUGUCGGGUAAGUUCCGACCUGCACGAAUGGUGUAACGAUCUGGGCACUGUCUCAGCCACGAGCUCGGUGAAAUUGUAGUAUCGGUGAAGAUGCCGAUUACCCGCAAUGGGACGAAAAGACCCUGUGAACCUUUACUAUAACUUCGUAUUGACUUUGAGUAAGUAAUGUGUAGGAUAGGUGGGAGGCUAUGAAGCUGGCACGCUAGUGUUGGUGGAGCCGUUGUUGAAAUACCACCCUUUGCUUACUUGGAGCCUAACUUCUGAAUAAGAGUAAGAAGGACAUUGCGUGGUGGGUAGUUUGACUGGGGUGGUCGCCUCCAAAAGAGUAACGGAGGCUUUCAAAGGUACCCUCAGCACGCUUGGUAACCGUGCGUAGAGUGUAAUGGCAUAAGGGUGCUUGACUGUGAGACCAACAAGUCGAUCAGGUGCGAAAGCAGGACAUAGUGAUCCGGUGGUUCCGUAUGGAAGGGCCAUCGCUCAAAGGAUAAAAGGUA
rnacentral:rRNA from 1 species